rnacentral:rRNA from 1 species
AUACGGAGAGAGCAAGCGUUAUUCGGAAUCACUGGGCGUAAAGGACGCGUAGGCGGGUUUGUAAGUCAGGUGUGAAAUCCUACAGCUCAACUGUAGAACUGCACUUGAAACUACAGACCUAGAGUAUGGAAGGGGCAGAUGGAAUUAGUGGUGUAGGGGUAAAAUCCGUAGAUAUCACUAGGAAUACCGAAAGCGAAGGCGAUCUGCUGGGACAUUACUGACGCUGAGGCGUGAAAGCGUGGGGAGCAAACAGGAUUAGAAACCCUGGUAGUCC